CGUGUAGGCGGCCAGACAGGUCUGUUGUGAAAACUGGAGGCUUAACCUCCAGACGUCGACAGAAACCGUCUGGCUAGAGUCCGGAAGAGGAGAGUGGAAUUCCUGGUGUAGCGGUGAAAUGCGCAGAUAUCAGGAAGAACACCAAUGGCGAAGGCAGCUCUCUGGGACGGUACUGACGCUGAGACGCGAAAGCGUGGGGAGCGAACA
rnacentral:rRNA from 1 species